rnacentral:rRNA from 1 species
GACAGAGGGUGCAAACGUUGCUCGGAAUCACUGGGCGUAAAGGGCGCGUAGGCGGGCAUGUAAGUCGGGCGUGGAAUCCCCAGGCUCAACCUGGGAACUGCACUCGAAACUGCGUUUCUUGAGUAUCGGAGAGGAAAGCGGAAUUCCUGGUGUAGAGGUGAAAUUCGUAGAUAUCAGGAGGAACACCAGUGGCGAAGGCGGCUUUCUGGACGGUAACUGACGCUGAGGCGCGAAAGCGUGGGGAGCAAACAGG